AACGUAGGGGGCCAGCGUUGCUCGGAAUUACUGGGCGUAAAGGGUCCGUAGGCGGUGUGGCAAGUCGGAAGUGAAAUCUCUGGGCUUAACCCAGAGGCUGCUUCCGAAACUGCUGUGCUAGAGUGUGAGAGAGGCGAGUGGAAUUGCGGGUGUAGCGGUGAAAUGCGUAGAUAUCCGCAGGAACAUCCGAGGCGAAAGCGGCUCGCUGGGUCACAACUGACGCUGAGGGACGAAAGCUAGGGGAGCAAACAGG
rnacentral:rRNA from 1 species